GGGCGAAUAGCUCAGUUGGGAGAGCGUCUGCCUUACAAGCAGAGGGUCGGGGGUUCGAACCCCUCUUCGCCCACCA
rnacentral:tRNA from 3 species